AUGAGCCACCAGAAGGACCUGGGCUGUUCCAGCAUGGGCCAGAUGGCCAGCUGUCUGAGAGGAGUCCUGCCCGGCUUGUGGUGGGGACCACACGAGCAGCUCAGGCCUUCCAGCUCUCGAGUGUCUGUAGUUCUUGUGAAACCAAAACGUUGACUACCUGCCUCUUUGCCCACAGGCAUUGACACGCUCAUUUCCAAAGACAAUGGUGCAGGUGACCUUUUCCGUCAGGAGCCAGGAGGUUAGGGGGCCUGAGGGGCAGGCCUGUGCUCCACAGCCGGAGAGCUGGAGCUUCCCCUGCAGACCCCGUCUGGUCAGGCCUCCAGCCGCGCCGUGCACACUCCCAUUGUUGCUUAUACCAAAUAGGGCACAUGCGGCUGGUGUCUGUUGGGGACAGCCCCGUCCCUGCCUUGGAGUGGGCAGAGAGAAGCAGCAAUAAGCAUUAGGUGAAUGGUGAACAGACUGCGGCUAAGAGGCCUUGGGUCCACUUACGUGGCUUUCCAAGUUCCUGAUGAGGCUACGAAGGCUCCUCCGUUCACAAAAGAAAGCCAAUAAUGUAAAUAAAUAAAAAUGAAGCCUCCAACCGUGAUUUUUAAAGGGGGAUGAUUAAGGUGAAACCACCCACAGGAUGUGUUAGAGUCUGGUUUUUCUGUGCUUUGUCAUUUUACUCUGAUAGGAAGCUUUGUUACUUAACUCUGUGCAUAACUUAUUUAAUGUACUGUAUAAAUGAACCAAAACUGUUAAAUAUGUAUUUAGUUUGUUCUACUUAAAGUAGUCAAUAAAAAGGCUAUAUUCCUUUUCUGAC